rnacentral:lncRNA from 1 species
GCGUGGGAAUUUGAUAUGUUCGAAUUAUAUAUGAGACAAAAUGUCGUUCUCGUUUGACAAGACCUGACAGGUGUAUCUAAGCUGGAUAUGCCUACUAUAGCUCUGCAGCCUAUAUACACAAGCUGAGUAAUUGCGCUUUUGCAUCUCUCUCCAAGUACCUAAUUAUCUUUUGUUUUGCAUGAACUCCUAAUUGACCUCUCUUUCGUGUAUUUCCAGCCAAAUUUUUUUUUUGAAACUUAUUUCCAGCCAAAUUGGCCAUUUUAAAACCCUAUAACAUUAAUAAAAUUCACAAGAGUUAUAGAAACAUAAUUUUAGUGAACUACCUAACAUAUAUCA